rnacentral:rRNA from 1 species
GACGAACGCUGGCGGCGUGCUUAACACAUGCAAGUCGUACGGUAAGGCCCUUUCGGGGGUACACGAGUGGCGAACGGGUGAGUAACACGUGAGUAACCUGCCCACAACUUUGGGAUAACGCUAGGAAACUGGUGCUAAUACUGGAUAUGUGCUCCUGCUGCAUGGUGGGGGGUUGGAAAGCUCCGGCGGUUGUGGAUGGACUCGCGGCCUAUCAGCUUGUUGGUGGGGUAGUGGCCUACCAAGGCGGCGACGGGUAGCCGGCCUGAGAGGGUAACCGGCCACAUUGGGACUGAGAUACGGCCCAGACUCCUACGGGAGGCAGCAGUGGGGAAUAUUGCACAAUGGGCGCAAGCCUGAUGCAGCAACGCCGCGUGCGGGAUGACGGCCUUCGGGUUGUAAACCGCUUUCAGCAGGGACGAAGCUUUUUGUGACGGUACCUGCAGAAGAAGCACCGGCUAACUACGUG